UCCUCCCCUGAACGCACCAUUCCGCUCUGCUUCUCCGCCCCCGGUUUCCCACAAAUCAGCUGUUUGCGCAGGAAGCCUGGGAGGGCAGAGAAGCAGGCGGCAGCGGUCAUAUAAGCCCUAUCUUACUAGAAUACUACUACAAUUUAAAGUUGUGAUAUUCAGAUUGUUUAGGACAUAAAUACUGUUACGUGAUAUAUCCCCAUAUGGGCCCCAAUCUUGCAAACACAUGAUAUGCUUAAAUUUUAAGCAUGCAAGUAGUCACUUUAGAUGUUUUUGAAAAUUUUACCUAAAGUCACUUAGAAGCCUCAGUCCCACUGACUUUAAAUAGGAUGGAGGAGCCUAAGUAACUCACGAGCAGAGCUAGUCAGAAAUUUUCAGUAAAGGUCGAGCCACUGGACCAAAAUAUUUUCUUAAAUCUGCUGCAGAUUUGGCAAAACUUUUAUAACACACAGCUAGAGCUGGAUCUCUGGGGGCUGUUAGGCUCCCUUCUCCUUAGCAGGGACCAAACUUGCUGGGGCUCCCAUGGCUGGCUAGGCUCCUCCUUCUGUGGCUCAUCUUAGGUGCUUUUGAUAACUUCACCUUUGACUUGAGCAAGUUAACCAUGUAAGUAUAUGUGUUUUAAGGAUGAAGAUCAUGUAUAACGAUAUCUACCAUUUAUUUCAAUCAAAGUGACAGGAAUGGACUUGGUAGAGAAAAGUAAAAAGACACUGUUUUAUAUUAGAACCUGGAAUUAAUACUCUGAUCUCAUUGUGCUAGAAGCAUUACUUUUGAAGCUGAGAACUGAACUAUGUCACCAGAUAAACAAGUAUGCUAUUCUUAUUUAUUUUCAAAUGUUCACCUUGUUCAUCUCGCUUUAUCAUGAUAAAAUAUUAAUAUUCCUAUAUACAGGAAAUAUACAAUCUCUCCGUUGCUUGGAACAUUUAAAAUUGAUCUUAGCAGUUAAAGUGCUCUAUUUUUAAAUAUGAUAUUUCUUCUUUUAAUUACUUCUUGCAUUUAACAUUUACAGACCCUACUAAUUUCCAGUAUUAGUUGGGAGAGUGAAGAACAUAAAUUCCCUGUGAAUAAAGUACUUUUAAAAUUAUGCAUGUUUCAAUAUGAGCUAGCUACAAAGAUUUUACAGAAUUCAUGUAGAAAGUUGCUGGGCAUAGCAAGAGAAUUCAUAUGGUAAAUGACAUCCCUAGCAGAACAUGCAUUUAAAAGCAACAAAAUAAUAAGCAAAAACAAUGCUGUAUCUGGGACUAAAUUCCCUACCAAUGCUGAUCAAGAAGCAUUACUGUUGUAGCGGAUUGUUCCCUGCUAUGCAGGGAUUUGCCCAUUAACAUUUCAUUGAAAACAGUGGAAUGCAAGGCUGGUAGCCACAUUUAACAACACAGCAGGUGUAUUCUGCCAAAACAUUCCUGGAAUGUUCAGAAGCAACAAAGCUAUUAAUCCCAGUGCCCUAGGCCUUCACUAGAAAUAAAAUAUAAAUUUUUAAUAGUGAGGGUAGUUAAUAAUUGGAACAAUUUACCAAAGAUUGUAGUGGAUUCUCCAUCAUUGGAAAUCAUAAAAUCAAGAUUGGAUGUUUUGCUGAAAAAUACACUUCCGUUCAAACAGGGAUUAUUUUGUUGCCUCGUUAUGUGUGCGAGUGCUGGGGACAUACUACAUAAUCUCAGUGGUCCCUUCUGGCUUCAGAAUCUAUACAUUAAUUUUAGUUACAUUAGGGAUGGCAUAUUACUCUAGUACUGCUACACUCCCUGCCUUUUUUUUUUUUAAAUUUUCUUUAUUUUUAAACUUUGUUGUAUGGGGAACUUUCUGUUCAUGAAAGAGGCUGGCCUGAAAAGUCCACUGAACAUGUAUGACACUUGCAGAGCAGUGCUUCAAGCCUGACCUGGACAGGACUGCUUUUAAGGCUACAUCUACAUUGAUAUCCAGGGGUGUAAUUUGCAGCUCACGUAGAUGUACCAGCACUAGCUGUAAUAUAGCUAAAAUAGCAGUGAGGACUUGGUGGCAUGAGCUUCAGUGCAGGCUGUACAAGCCCACCUGGCCCCACUGGGUACGUACUCGCAUUGGUAGCCCACCUGAAACUUGCACUGGUGUGUCCUCACUGCUCAUUUUAGCAAGCUAGUUAGAUUACACCUAGCAUAGGUGCAUCUGCACGAACUGCAGAGUAGGUUCAGUCCAGUCUCUAUGCCUAGUCAAUCCUUACUGAGCCUUAACAGCACCAAAAAAGCUAAUGUUAAAAAAAGUUAUAUAAUACAUAGGUGGGGAAAGAGUGUCUGUACAUCUGGUUAUAAUGCUUAGAUUAUCCACAAAUACAAAAUUAUUUUUUUAAAAGUCAUAUGAUACAUAGAGUACAUGAUCAGCAAUAACCCAGAUUUAGGUGAAUAAUAUCUCAACUGUAUUGUUAAAAUCUAGAGUCCGAAUACUCGGGUACAUCACUCAUGAAAAGUUGUGCAGAGAUUUGGU